CUCCUAUAGCACCUCUACCCUGUGUACCUCCACCCACUGUUAAUAUGACUCCUAGCAUCUCCUUAUCACCAUCCCUACAGUUUGAUGGCAAUAUCCAGGAAUGCAGGUGGAGUACCAUUUUGAGGCCUCACCAGGGUCAUUCCCCACGGACAGAGCAAGAAUUGGUUAUCUAAUGAAUCAAUUAAAGGGCAGUGCCCUUGCCUGGGCUAAUCCGUUGUGGGAGAGUAAUCGGAGCAUAGCUCAUAAUUACC